UACGUAGGGGGCUAGCGUUGUCCGGAUUUAUUGGGCGUAAAGAGCGUGUAGGCGGCCAGGUAGGUCUGGUGUGAAAACUCGAGGCUUAACCUCGAGAUGUCAUCGGAAACCAUUUGGCUAGAGUCCGGAAGAGGAGAGUGGAAUUCCUGGUGUAGCGGUGUAAUGCGCAGAUAUCAGGAAGAACACCAAUGGCGAAAGCAGCUCUCUGGGACGAUACUGACGCUGAGACGCGAAAGCGUGGGGAGCGAACAGG
rnacentral:rRNA from 1 species